CGGCAACAGCUCAAAUUUGAAAUCUGCCCGCAAGGGCCGAGUUGUAAUUUGUAGAAGAUGCUUUGGGUGUGGCUCUGGUUUAAGUUCUUUGGAAUAUUACAUCAUAGAGGGUGAGAAUCCCGUAUGUGACCAGUCGCCGCGCCCGUGUAAAGCUCUUUCAAC
rnacentral:rRNA from 1 species